CACGUAGGGCGCAAGCGUUGUCCGGAAUUAUUGGGCGUAAAGAGCUCGUAGGCGGUCUGUUGCGUCCGCUGUGAAAACUCGGGGCUUAACCCCGAGCCUGCAGUGGAUACGGGCAGACUAGAGGUAGGUAGGGGAGAAUGGAAUUCCCGGUGUAGCGGUGAAAUGCGCAGAUAUCGGGAGGAACACCGGUGGCGAAGGCGGUUCUCUGGGCAUUAACUGACGCUGAGGAGCGAAAGCAUGGGGAGCGAACAGG
rnacentral:rRNA from 1 species